rnacentral:rRNA from 2 species
UAGACCGCCUGGGGAGUACGGCCGCAAGGUUAAAACUCAAAUGAAUUGACGGGGGCCCGCACAAGCGGUGGAGCAUGUGGUUUAAUUCGAUGCAACGCGAAGAACCUUACCUGGUCUUGACAUCCACAGAACUUUCCAGAGAUGGAUUGGUGCCUUCGGGAACUGUGAGACAGGUGCUGCAUGGCUGUCGUCAGCUCGUGUUGUGAAAUGUUGGGUUAAGUCCCGCAACGAGCGCAACCCUUAUCCUUUGUUGCCAGCGGU